UACCAGCACCCCCGAGUGGUCGGGACGAUUAUUGGGCCUAAAGCAUCCGUAGCCGGUUCUACAAGUCUUCCGUUAAAUCCACCUGCUUAACAGAUGGGCUGCGGAGGAUACUAUGGAGCUAGGAGGCGGGAGAGGCAAGCGGUACUUAGUGGGUAGGGGUAAAAUCCGUUGAUCCAUUGAAGACCACCAGCGGCGAAGGCGGCUUGCCAGAACGCACUCGACGGUGAGGGAUGAAAGCUGGGGGAGCAAACCGGAUUAGAA
rnacentral:rRNA from 1 species